rnacentral:rRNA from 1 species
AAUGAACGUUGGCGGCGUGGAUUAGGCAUGCAAGUCGAGCGCUCAUAGCAAUAUGGGAGCGGCGAACGGCGUAGUAAGACGUAGGAACGUACCCUCGGGUCGGGGAUAGCUACGGGAAACUGUAGGUAAUACCCGAUAAUCUCUGCGGAGCAAAGGUGUGAUUCCGCCUGAGGAGCGGCUUACGCGAUAUUAGCUAGUUGGUGGGGUAAUGGCCUACCAAGGCGAUGAUGUCUAGGGGGUGUGAGAGCAUGGCCCCCACGACCGGAACUGAGAUACUGUCCGGACACCUACGGGUGGGCUGCAGUCGAGAAUCUUCCGCAAUGGACGAAAGUCUGACGGAGCGACGCCGCGUGCGGGAUGAAGGCCCUUCGGGUUGUAAACCGACUGUCAGAGGGGAGUGAAAU